rnacentral:rRNA from 1 species
UGCAAUGAGAGUUGURCUAAGGUAGCAUAAUAAUUUGAUUUUUAAUUGAAAUCUGGGAUGAAAGGGGCAAUGAAAUUAUAACUUUUUUUAUAAUAAAUUAAAAUUUUAUUUACAAGUGAAAAAGCUUGUAUGAUUUUAUAAGACGAGAAGACCCCAAGAAUUGUUGUUAAUAUAAGGUUAUAAGAUCUUAAUUAGACUUAGCUGGGGCGGCUUGUAAGUAUAAUAACCUUACAAAUAAGAAACUACCAUAGGAUUAGUUUGAAGUUUACAUAAUUAUUAGAAAAUUACCUUGGGGAUAACAGCGUA